rnacentral:rRNA from 1 species
UACAGAGGUGGCAAGCGUUGUUCGGAAUUACUGGGCGUAAAGGGCGCGUAGGCGGCCUUCUAAGUCGGACGUGAAAGCCCCAGGCUUAACCUGGGAACUGCGUCCGAUACUGGGAGGCUUGGAUUCGGGAGAGGGAUGUGGAAUUCCAGGUGUAGCGGUGAAAUGCGUAGAUAUCGGGAGGAAUACCGAUGGCGAAGGCAACUGCCUGGGCCUGAACUGACACUGUGACACGAAAGCGUGGGUAGCAAACAGG